GUCAGUGUCUUAAAAAGAACUUUUAUAAGAAUCAUGAACAGAGAACUAUGUCAUCUCCGCCCUGACAGUCUGGUCACAACACUUGGCUUGUGUCUGAAGUGGCAGUGGGCAUGGACUACAGAACACCAGGGAAGGAGGAAGCAUCUUGCUACUGACUGCACCCCCUGCAUAGACUCUUAUACCUUCUAGAACAUUCUUUGCAGCAAGGGCUACUGCUGUGGCCCACAAUCUAUUUCGCCCACAUGCUAUUGAGGAAAUAUAUCUCUUAUGCAAUUUAAUCUGCACAGAAAACAAGUUUACAACUUCUGUCCAUCCAUCCUGUCCAUUUUUGCCCAGGUCUGGUUUCUGGGUGCUUAGGAAAUUUACAGUAUGGUUAUUUAUCAUCGUGUUCCUGAGCUUCCAAAUUCAGCUAAUUCACAUGGCAGCAGAUCCUCCUCCAGCAGACCCCCGUCACUGGAGUCUGAAAACCUCCGCAAUCACAGCGGAAGCUUCUCGGUGUCCAUUCUUGGGAAGUGUGUGCUGAGAACAUUCACAGAAGUCUGUCCUGGGCCCCACCUGCUUUAGGCUGAAUCACAGAGCUGCCUACGUAAGAAGCAGAUGGAUUGCAGCGACGACUGCCACUGAGGCGCCC
rnacentral:lncRNA from 1 species